rnacentral:tRNA from 4 species
GCCCCCUUAGCUCAGUAGGAUAGAGCACAGGAUUCCUAAUCCUGGUGUCAGAGGUUCGAAUCCUCUAGGGGGCGCCA